GUCCGUACCCUCCAACGAUUCCCCUAGGUCUGCUUCCCAAAGGUCAGUAUACCGGAGCUCUCCCCACUCAUUGGACUCUACACUAAGGUGAUUAUAUAAUGAGGAGAUCUCUUGGAGGCAUAUUUUCUCAAACCAGAUAAGUGGGAUUGCGGCUGUCUCUUUAACUUCUUUGUUGACCGCGAAAUCCCGUAUCUGGAUAUAGCGAAAUAAAUCCUUGGUGGUUAGAUGUGAG